GGGGUCGUAGCUCAAAUGGUAGAGCGCCCGCUUAGCAAGCGCUGAGCGCCGUAUGAAAUGCGGGAGGUAGGGGGAUCGAUGCCCUCCGACUCCA